rnacentral:tRNA from 2 species
GCGGCUGUAGCUCAGCUGGAUAGAGCUGGGGCUUCCUAAGCCCUGAGUCGGGGGUUCGAGUCCUCCCAGCCGCACCA